rnacentral:rRNA from 1 species
UAGUCCACGCCCUAAACGAUGACAACUAACCGUUGGGCCUUCGGGUUUAGUGGUGAAGCAAACGCGCUAAGUUGUCCGCCUGGGGAGUACGGCCGCAAGGUUAAAACUCAAAUGAAUUGACGGGGGCCCGCACAAGCGGUGGAGCAUGUGGUUUAAUUCGAUGCAACGCGAAGAACCUUACCUGGGCUCUAAUGCCUUUGCCAGUCCAUGAAAGUGGAUUUCCUUCGGGACAAAGUGCAAGGUGCUGCAUGGUUGUCGUCAGCUCGUGCCGUGAGGUGUUGGGUUAAGUCCCGCAACGAGCGCAACCCCUAUCUUCAGUUGCCAGCAUGUAAUGAUGGGGACUCUGGAGAGACUGCCUCCGCAAGGAGCGAGGAAGGCGGGGACGACGUCAAAUCAUCAUGGCCUUUAUGCCCAGGGGCUACACACGUGCUACAAUGGGCAGGGUACAGGA